GGGAGCUUAGAUGUGGAAGCUCUUUGGAAACCAAGAAACACUCUGAAAAUGAAAAGGGAUCUCAACUUUUCUCUUCCCGCUCCAGCUGCACUAUGUAUCCGUGCUUGGCUCUCAGUUGUUGGAUUCUCAUGUCUCCUUUUUCACAGUGGCUCAGGUAAGGGGACUUGUUGCAACAUCUCGAGAUGCUGUCUUUAGUCCUAGCUCUCUUGGAAGAGAGGAAAGGAGAUGAGACAUACUGAAACCACAUUUUCUUGAUGUUGAGCAGAAUCCAGUUCACAGACUAGAAAAUGUUUUAUUCCUUGUAGGCUCAGCAGUACAGAAACAAGGUGGGGAAAGGAAAACAAUUUCUAAAGAGUGAAUUAUUAUGAAUUAUCUUAUAAAUGCCCAUGCCACCUGCUUUACUUCUCAUAAUUCACUAAACCUCCUUUACUUCUCAUAAUUCACUAAAUUCACUAUGCUCUGCAUUUCAUCUGUGGUGUGAUGAGUUAAAAUUGCCUUGUUGGGAAUUUUUUCAGAACAUUUGUCCACUUGAACAAAAAUCAAUAUUCUGUCUCUUAAACAGAAGCAUUUGAACAAGUUGCACUAUGCGGAGGUGAGAACAAUAAUUAUAUUGGUACAUGUCUUAAAAAUUACCCAGAAGCAGAUGAGAAUUUGUGAAUAAAUGACUCAUUAAGAAAGUGUCCCCAGAAGAAGUCAGUAAGUGAGUGGGGGCAUGAGGAGAGGAAAAGGGAAGUCA
ensembl:lncRNA SATB1-AS1 SATB1 antisense RNA 1